AAACCUUUCUCUCUCUCAUCAUCCUAUAACUCUUUCCUCUCUGCAACUACAAGGACAUUCACAACCACUCACAGAUCGAGUCCAAAAACACCACCAUCGUGAUCCUCUUGUCCUCACGAUCACAACCAUACCAAUCGAUUCUCUAAUGGUUGAGUUUUGAGUGGUCAACACAGAGCGACUCGAAAGCUCCGACUCGGUUGAGUUGGUGUCAUCAUGAUCCCAGCCAAAUUACAAGGUUUUAAGAUGUGGGGAAGCUCUUACUCAACUCCUCGUGCCCAUUAGACUAGUUUUGGAGAAGCAUUGAUGUUGAAACAGGCACGUUCAAGGAGUUGAGCUUUUGGCCCAGACUUAUAAGCCAUUUUCAAGCCAUUUCUAGUCCACUUUUGGACUUUUGGAAGAAACUGGCGAAGAUUUCCAGUUUCCAGCGAGUUCAGACGGCGGCGGAUGGUGACGAUUGGUGACAACCCAUCGAAGAAGACAACGAAUAUUCCAUCAGACUUGACGGAAUAUUCUAAUGGCAUCAGGGGAGACUUACUCCGAGGACAAGCGAGACUAGGAAGCUAUGAUCCUACGACAUACCA